ensembl:lncRNA novel transcript
GAAGACAGAAAUAAAACUAAAAGCUAAUUCUCUCUGGACUUGGAAAGGAAGGAGUAUCAGAGAAGCAGAGAAGAGAAAAAAGCUUAGAAAGCAGGAAAGAAGCUGAAAGCAUUUGGAAGACAUCGUGAACUCUUUGAAGGCAGAAACUAAAUGAAAUUCACCUUCAUAUUUACAGGGACCAGCACAGCCUCUAGAACAGAAUGGGUGCUCAAAUCAAUAUUUCUUUAAAAGAAUAAAUGAAUGAAUAAAUAAAUGAAUGCAAGUGGAAGA